AAUAAAUCACUUCAAUGUUAAGAUAUAAUGGCUUUGUGGACAAAGAAAGUACUAAAACAUGUGUAUCAAUCCCAAAUAUUGAAAAAUGUGAAUCGACAUAUAUCAAUAUUGAAGAUAACACAUCAAUUGGGAUACAGU